GCUCAUCACCAUAUCUCCCUGAACAUACAGAUCUCAUCGGAUUUUUAAAAGCUAAGCAAGGUCAGGACUGGUUAGUAUUUGGAUGGGAGGCUAUCAGAGAAUACAUAGGAUCU
rnacentral:rRNA from 1 species